CUCAGUUUUCUCUCAGUCCCCCAAAACCUCUUUCCUUGCUUCUGUAACCCCAUUCUCCUGUUCUUUUCAUCCCCUCAUUUGGCCCCUGACCCCAGGUAGCCUUAGGGCUAGUUCAGGUGGCACAUGAUCUGGAUGUAGGUCCCACCCUGGACCAGCUCCUGGGAGCAGCUGAUGCUCUACAAGCCCAGGUGUCACAAAAUAAACUACAGCUACAGGAGGCCCAGGAGCAAGCAGAACAAGCAUCAGACACAGCUGCGAACUUGGGCAAGGACCUGCAGACAGCCAAGCUACAGUUCUCAGAGCUACAGUCUGGGAUCAAUGGCCUUGGGGAUGAAGUGAAUGGGGCCAGACAUCGUUUGCAGCGAAUUCAGGCAGAAGCCAGAGAGCUGCUGAAGAAAGCAAGUAGGAGCCGAAACCGUCUAGAAGGCCUGGAGAAACGUUUUGCUCUGAAUGAGCAGGCACUUGGAGAGAAGGCAGCUGAGCUUCAGACCCUGGAGAGUAGAGCCCUGGGACUACUGGAGCAGCUGAGACAGGAGGCCAGUGCCCACGCCACCUGCUGAUGCGCCCACGCCCAGUAAAACAAAGAUACUCCCAAGAUAGAGCCUCUCCAGGACCUCCCUACGCCCCCAUCUGCCCCUGCAGAGGGACCCCUCCUCUCUCUGCACUGUGUAGGGGGACCCUGGACUCUCCCUCAUGAUACACCAAAAAAGAGGGCUAUUUUAUUUUUCAAUGCACAGAAAAUAAAUUU
rnacentral:lncRNA from 1 species